AGUGUGACUUGCCCGCUCUGUACUGCACUUCCGCCGCCUGUCGCCAGCCACCACUGCCACCACCGAGCAACCAUGUCUGAGGAGAAGCCCAAGGAAGGCGUGAAGACUGAGAAUGACCACAUCAACCUAAAGGUGGCGGGGCAGGAUGGCUCAGUGGUGCAGUUCAAGAUCAAGAGGCAUACCCCGUUGAGCAAGCUGAUGAAGGCCUACUGUGAGAGGCAGGGCUUGUCAAUGAGACAGAUUAGAUUCAGGUUUGAUGGGCAACCCAUUAAUGAAACAGACACUCCAGCACAGCUGGAGAUGGAAGGCGAAGACACCAUUGAUGUGUUCCAGCAGCAAACAACCCUCCAGAGGGACCGUUCUGCACCCUGCACUCGCUGUGGAAUGGUGAGCAAAUGA